rnacentral:rRNA from 1 species
CUUUGCAAGAUUACUAAUAACUUACAAUCCCGAAACUUACGUGAGCUGACUACUAUUUGUUAAGAACCAAAUAUAUGAUGUAGCAAUAUCAAUAAAAAAAUAGUAGUCAGAGGCUACAUACCUUCCGCACUAAGAGAUAUCUGGUUUUUCAGCCAAACCAGCUUAAGCUGUAUAAGCUAAUACCUUAAACUAUAUCCCCUACAAAUUAGCUAAUAAAGAAAAUCAAAGAUAAGCUUGAUUUUACACUUUAUUUUAAAGAAACCGCCCUCAACUGUAAGCUUAAAACCAGCUAACAUUAAAUCACGUUCUAGUAUUAAAUAUAAUAACAAUUAAAAAAAAAUAUAAAAUCUAAUGAAAUAAUUCUACCAACUUCUCUAGUUUAAAACUAUGCAAAGAUUAGUAUUCUGCACCACACAAAUAAUAAACUCACCUUAAUAUGUGGAAAAGGAACUCGGCAAAUCCUUAUUUCGACUGUUUAACAAAAACAUUGCCUAUAGAAUUACACUAUUAUAGGUACUCCCUGCCCAGUGAAUUAAUUUAACGGCCGCGGUACCCUGACCGUGCAAAGGUAGCAUAAUAAUUUGCCUCUUAAUUCGAGGCUAGAAUGAACGGGUAAACGAAAAUAAUACUGUCUCUUCCACACCCAUAAAAAUUUUUCUUCAGGUGAAGAAACCUGAAUAAAUAUAAAAGACAAGAAGACCCUGACGAGCUUUAAUUCUUAAAUACAAGCCAUAUUUCUCUAUCUCAAAGAAUAUUUAUUGGGGCGAUAAUGGAACAUAUAAAACUUCCAUCACACUUAAGACACCAAGUCUCCUCAAAGAUCCCACAUAGAUCCUAGGCACAAGCUACCGCAGGGAUAACAGGCUAAUUUUCCUUAAGAGCCCAAAUCUACAGGAAAGUUUGGCACCUCGAUGUUGGCUUAAAGAUCCUUUUAGAUGCACCAGUCUAAAAA